rfam:Coprococcus sp. CAG:782 genomic scaffold, scf199
UGAGUUGGACAAGUGAUCGCGGCUGCAUAAACGAAAGGAUGCAGGUGAGGAAAGUCCGGGCUUCACAGGGCAGAGUGCCGGAUAACGUCCGGUGGAGGCAACUCCCAGGCCAGUGCAACAGAAAUAAACCGCUUCCCCUUGGGAAGUAAGGGUGGAAAGGCGAGGUAAGAGCUCACCGCUGUUCUGGUAACAGAGCAGGCUCUGUAAACCCCACUCGAAGCAAGACCGAAUUGAAACCAUACAGCGGCCCGCUGUGUUUCGGGUAGGUCGCUUGAACUUCGUGGUAACGCGAAGGCUAGAUAGAUGAUCACUCACGACAUAACCCGGCUUAUAGUCCAACUCAUAUU